AUAACCUGCCUCAUACAGGGGGAUAACAGUUAGAAAUGACUGCUAAUACCGCAUAAGCGCACAGAGAUGCAUGUCUCGGUGUGAAAGGCUGAGGCGGUAUGAGAUGGAUCCGCGUCUGAUUAGCUGGUUGGCGGGGUAGAGGCCCACCAAGGCGACGAUCAGUAGCCGACCUGAGAGGGUGGCCGGCCACAUUGGGACUGAGACACGGCCCAAACUCCUACGGGAGGCAGCAG
rnacentral:rRNA from 1 species